rnacentral:rRNA from 1 species
CCUACGGGUGGCAGCAGUGGGGAAUAUUGGACAAUGGGGGCAACCCUGAUCCAGCCAUGCCGCGUGUGUGAAGAAGGCCCUCGGGUUGUAAAGCACUUUCAGUGAGGAAGAACGCCUGGUGGUUAAUAUCCAUCAGGAAAGACAUCACUCACAGAAGAAGCACCGGCUAACUCCGUGCCAGCAGCCGCGGUAAUACGGAGGGUGCGAGCGUUAAUCGGAAUUACUGGGCGUAAAGCGCGCGUAGGUGGCUUGAUAAGCCGGUUGUGAAAGCCCCGGGCUCAACCUGGGAACGGCAUCCGGACGUGUCAAGCUAGAGUGCAGGAGAGGAAGGUAGAAUUCCCGGUGUAGCGGUGAAAUGCGUAGAGAUCGGGAGGAAUACCAGUGGCGAAGGCGGCCUUCUGGACUGACACUGACACUGAGGUGCGAAAGCGUGGGUAGCAAACAGGAUUAGAUACCCCAGUAGUC